GGCUACGGCCAUAGCACCCUGAACGCACCUGAUCUCGGAAGCUAAGCAGGGUCGGGCCUGGUUAGUACUUGGAUGGGAGACAAAUAAAUAAAACUUUAAAUUAAGAAAAAUGGAAUAUAUUCU
rnacentral:rRNA from 1 species